CACGUAGGGUGCGAGCGUUGUCCGGAAUUAUUGGGCGUAAAGAGCUCGUAGGCGGUGUGUCGCGUCGGCCGUGAAAACCUGCAGCUUAACUGUGGGCUUGCGGUCGAUACGGGCAUCACUGGAGUUCGGUAGGGGAGUCUGGAAUUCCUGGUGUAGCGGUGAAAUGCGCAGAUAUCAGGAGGAACACCGGUGGCGAAGGCGGGUCUCUGGGCCGAUACUGACGCUGAGGAGCGAAAGCGUGGGGAGCAAACAGG
rnacentral:rRNA from 1 species